GGAAAAUUAUUUGCCCACUUAGUUUCCUCAGAAACUGUGGAAAUUUGAUCUGGAACGCUGCUGAGUGGAGGUAUACUUACAACAGCCGCCUGCAGAGUUAUGGGUGGAAAAGGGCCAUCUGAAUACUGGAGGCCCGAAGAAUCCAGUCAAAGGUGAAAGACUCGAAGCUCACUGCCCAGUCCUGUUGCAGUCUGUAUCAGGCUACAGACCUAUUGGCUGGUGCCACCUCGCCCCAGGGUGGGCCUUCCCUCUUCAGUAAGUCCUCCCCUGAGGCACACCCAGGACUAUGCCCAGCCAGGCAGCUGGGUGUUUCUUAUUCACAACAAUGAGCUAUCAUACCUGUAGCAAUUUUU